rnacentral:rRNA from 1 species
AGAGUUUGAUCAUGGCUCAGGACGAACGCUGGCGGCGUGCUUAACACAUGCAAGUCGAACGGAAAGGCCCUUCGGGGUACUCGAGUGGCGAACGGGUGAGUAAUACAUCGGAACGUGCCCAGUAAUGGGGGAUAGCUCGGCGAAAGCCGGAUUAAUACCGCAUACGCCCUGAGGGGGAAAGUGGGGGACCGCAAGGCCUCACGUUAUUGGAGCGGCCGAUGGCUGAUUAGCUAGUUGGUAGGGUAAAGGCCUACCAAGGCGACGAUCAGUAGCUGGUCUGAGAGGACGAUCAGCCACACUGGGACUGAGACACGGCCCAGACUCCUACGGGAGGCAGCAGUGGGGAAUUUUGGACAAUGGGGGAAACCCUGAUCCAGCAAUGCCGCGUGUGCGAAGAAGGCCUUCGGGUUGUAAAGCACUUUUGUCAGGGAAGAAAUCCUUUGGGCUAAUACCCUAGGGGGAUGACGGUACCUGAAGAAUAAGCACCGGCUAACUACGUGCCAGCAGCCGCGGUAAUACGUAGGGUGCAAGCGUUAAUCGGAAUUACUGGGCGUAAAGCGUGCGCAGGCGGUUGUGUAAGACAGGUGUGAAAUCCCCGGGCUUAACCUGGGAAUUGCAUUUGUGACUGCACGACUAGAGUGUGUCAGAGGGGGGUGGAAUUCCACGUGUAGCAGUGAAAUGCGUAGAUAUGUGGAGGAACACCAAUGGCGAAGGCAGCCCCCUGGGAUAACACUGACGCUCAUGCACGAAAGCGUGGGGAGCAAACAGGAUUAGAUACCCCGGUAGUCC